AACUACGGCCAUGCCACCCUGAACGUGCCCGAUCUCGUCUGAUCUCGGAAGCUAAGCAAGGUCAUGGCUGGUUAGUACUUGGAUGGGAGACCACCUAGGAAGACCAGGUUCUGUAGGCG
rnacentral:rRNA from 1 species